rnacentral:rRNA from 1 species
GAAUUGACGGGGGCCCGCACAAGCGGUGGAGCAUGUGGUUUAAUUCGAUGCAACGCGAAGAACCUUACCUGGUCUUGACAUCCACGGAAGUUUUCAGAGAUGAGAAUGUGCCUUCGGGAACCGUGAGACAGGUGCUGCAUGGCUGUCGUCAGCUCGUGUUGUGAAAUGUUGGGUUAAGUCCCGCAACGAGCGCAACCCUUAUCCUUUGUUGCCAGCGGUCCGGCCGGGAACUCAAAGGAGACUGCCAGUGAUAAACUGGAGGAAGGUGGGGAUGACGUCAAGUCAUCAUGGCCCUUACGACCAGGGCUACACACGUGCUACAAUGGCGCAUACAAAGAGAAGCGACCUCGCGAGAGCAAGCGGACCUCAUAAAGUGCGUCGUAGUCCGGAUUGGAGUCUGCAACUCGACUCCAUGAAGUCGGAAUCGCUAGUAAUCGUGGAUCAGAAUGCCACGGUGAAUACGUUCCCGGGCCUUGUACACACCGCCCGUCACACCAUGGGAGUGAGUUGCAAAAGAAGUAGGUAGCUUAACCUUCGGGAGGGCGCUUACCACUUUGUGAUUCAUGACUGGGGUGAAGUCGUAACAAGGUAACCGUAGGGGAACCUGCGGUUGGAUCACCUCCUUA